rnacentral:lncRNA from 1 species
CCAGUUUGCAAGACAUGUUCUCUGAACUAAACUAAGUGGAGUGUGAACCUUGAGUAAACAUGUCAUAUGUGAUUAUGAUAUUGUCAUGUCUUUUGGCUCUUUUUAUUUGUGUAUUUUGCAUAUGUUCACGUGCUGCUAUUGAAGCUCAAAAUAGGGAUGGGUUCUAUCUCCAAUACUAAGUUAGUAAAGUAGUUGAGUUUUGUUAAUUUGAAAGAAAGGCUAAAUAAAUUUUGGAUGAAUAUGGAACAAAAAAAAUCUUAUUAUUUAUGAAUUUUGUAAGUGGAUUUCUGUUUGUGGAAAGGAG